UGAGAAACAAGGUGAUUGGUUCACAAGAGU
rnacentral:piRNA from 2 species